rnacentral:lncRNA from 1 species
GAACAAGCUGGUUUAUCGUUGCCAUAGAGAUUGGCAACAGAACUAGUAAAGAUCAUAAUGGUGUUAGGAGACUUAAAAAGUACUUGUACUGUUGAAGCCAGGCACUGGCCAGGAGGUAGUGUAUUUCUGAGGAUCAGCAUUAGAUCUGGUUAUCUUUUUCUACUCCUUUUAUCUGGGUUGGGAGAACAUGAGCAAAGAGAAGAUUACAACUGAUGGAAGUGUUAUUGAAGAAGAUGCAGAUGCUGGUGGACAAGAGGAUUCUGUUGGGUGCCUACAGCUCUCAACCUUGUGUUGCUGCAUCCCUAGAAGGCGGAUGCGCUUGCCAGGGAGGAAACCCAAGGACAGAAAGAAAAAAAAUGAGAAAAAGAAGAAUGCCGGUGACGCAUCAUUCAGUGACGCUAUGUCUGACGAAAGAAAGCAGAACAUGGGCCAGGAUCACCGGAGCGUGACCUCCGCAGGUGACUCGGGUGGUAUGCAAACAGAAGGCAUCAAGCCAGCUUUAACAGUGUGCAUCCAGAUCAGUGACAGAACAACUGCAGAUUUCCUUAUACCUGUUACUUUGGGUGAUAUCUAUUCAGAAGGACGAAAAGAAAAAAGUGUUGAACAAACAAGUGGAAAUACUUUAUGUACACAAAACAAAAUACAACAGAAAAUAGAGGAGCCAGAGAGUGUACUGUUUUUAGAACCAGAAAAGGAAAGCAUAGAGGGUGCUGUAUCAGAGGGGGUGCUCCUUGAGGAGGGAAAGGGCCACCUAGUUACAACAACCACAGAAAACAGACAAUGUGGAAGACGUGAACUACCAAGUGCAUUGCUUCAAGGAACAACCUACAAAAAGGAGCCAGAAGGAACAGAAGACAGUGUGAUUUUUAAAUUGGAAGACGCUCCCUCUGAGCAGAUGAAGGAGGAUCAGCUAGAUGUGCUUUUUCAGGAGCUACAACAAUCCAGAGAGCUAGCACUCAGCAGCACAUUGGCUGCUAAUGAAAAUAAACUGGAUAAGGAACAUAAUCCGAGUACUAAUUCUGAAGGUGAAAACUCGUUGCAGGACCAUGAACUUGUUCUGGAUCUUUCUUGUAAAGUAGACAGACAAAUCACCCAGAACCAAAUGAUGUCUGUAUAUAAAGGAGAUCCUCAAAGCAAAAAUGAGGAAUACCAAGACAUAUCCAAUGAGAAGAUGAAGCCAUCUACAGAACCAGAAUGCCCAGACAUUAUUUCCACUAUAUGUGAAAAUAAUGAAUGGCAAGAACAGCAGAAUCUAGACUUUGCAACAGAAGCUUCCUCCAACAAAGUAGAACAUGGCUACUCAAAUUUGCUUGAACAGAAAGACCAAUCGCCUGUCAUACCAAAUGUUGCUAACUUUUCGUUCCAGGCUACAACUCAUGAGAAGAUACAGGAAGAAGUACAAAUCAUUAAAAGCUCCUCAUCAGAUACAUGUCUCAGCAAAUCAGAAGACCAUCAGUGUAGACCCCACCAGGAGGAUCAACAAGAUGCUACAUCAAACAAUAUGUCUGUGUUGCCUGCGGAUGUGACUUGCACAAUAGAUCUGCAAAAUCUAGCUCAUACAAACCCUUUGCUUGAGGAUGUUGCUAUCCACAUUACAGACCAGAACCACACAGAGACUCAGCAACUAUUUUUACUGGAACAAACUAGUAGAUGCUGUUCUAGUGGAAGUGAUGAACAUGAGACCCAAGCUCCUAUUGUAACAGAAGACAUUAACAUAUGUUUUGACAAUAUAAGCCAUGAGAAAGAGCAGCAAAGAAAAUUAGAAUGUGGGGAUUCAGAGCCUGAGGGCAUUUACGACAAGAAGGAUCAGGAUCACCAGGGUACUGGUUACUUGAAAAUGCAACAACUUGCAGUGUUUGCAGAACCUUUGAAAACAAUCCCUGGAGAAGAUCAGUGUGUAAGGAAGGAAGACAUGAACCCUGGCCAGACCGAAAUUCAUCUUCCAGAUGAAGAGUCAACAGAGCCCAAUGACCAAUACAACCUGCCUAUAUUUACAUCUUCUAAAGAGGAAGCAACAACACAGCAACAGCAAAGGCAACAGCUCAUUACGUCCACACAAGAAGGAUGGAACAAAGAAGAGGACCAGCCAGAGUCACGGCUCAUCCAAAAGGAUGCAUCUCUACCAUACGAGGAACAACAGAAAAGGGCAGAAAUGAACCUGGGUGUGACCUGUGAGGCACAUCAGAAGGAAACACAGGGUCUGUCAGACAUCAUAUUCCUUUGUAAUGCUAGGAAGGAGGAGGAAGACUAUGUGUAAAAUAAACACUCCAUUCAUUCUGGAAAAACCUUUACU